CUACAGACAAAGUUGCUUAUCUUGCUUGGGAUGCGUAUUUUAUCUGAGAUUCCCGAGGGGCGUGUCGCCUACGUGUGCUGGCUGGAUAGAGAUUGCCCCUGAGGGUCUGGCCCGCAGAAGCCGCGGUCAGUUCCUCCGCUGCCAAUCCAAAGCCCAGUGUCAAGGUUCCCCGGCUCGGACGCUGCACUCCUGGCUCCAAAACCAGUCGCUGCCUCCCGGGGACUUCUCCUCCCGCCAGCCGUGCCACCACACCACCCACGCGAACUGGCUGGGCCCCCUCCCAAGGGGCAACCAUAAAGGAUGAAACCACUAUCUUUGAUCCUGGGCCUUUUGGCUCUUGUAGCAUGCUUCUGGCCUUGUGAGAGUCAAAGAGGCCCCUGGAGACUGUAUCCACCUGGACAACUGCCUCCUCCUCCUCC